CGCGGAGUAGAGUAGUCUGGUUAGCUCGCAAGGCUCAUAACCUUGAGGUCACGGGUUCAAAUCCCGUCUCCGCACUA
rnacentral:tRNA from 3 species